AAAUUGUAAACUUAGUAGAGGACUUGCGAUUUUGGAUGCGAAAAGCUGGAUUUGGCGACUAGUGCGAGCUAUUUUAAGAAGCAGUAGAAGGACAGAAGUCCACAAUGCCCGGUAGAGGGUAGAAAAAGCAAUGCCAAUGGGAAACUCAAACACAAAUUUCAAUACAAGAAAGCCCUAACCAGGCCCUAACCUAGCGAAACGAUGUUGAAAACAACCCCAAAAUAACUGUUCAAUUCUCAAUGGACGAAGCAACUUACCAUGAUGCAGUAAAUCUAGAUUGAAGACUCGUUUCGUGCAAUUGGCACAACAGGAAACCUCCGAAAAUUUUACUACGAAGAAAAUUGUAAAAGAAGAAACGUGGAUCAGUAUUGCUUAUACAGCCAGGUCAUCAUCUUGGUAGAGUGAGUCUUAGCUUAGUAGAACUCUAGUAGAACUGAACAACCAGUGUCUUAAUGACUAUACCAUUAUGUUCUAGGCAUGCAUGGUACUCAACUUAAAAACAUUUUCUAAAUUUUUUGCAAAUGUGCAUGUGUGUUAAAGUGUAAAUAAAAAGUAUUAAAGAGCUAUACUAUAGAAGCAAUUCCUUUAAUGCGUAGUUGACUUGCUGUACUCAAACAGAAAUGUAAUUGAUCUCAUGUAUUCAAUAUUAUAAUAAUAUAAUAA